rnacentral:rRNA from 1 species
CGCGGUAUUUUGACCGUGCGAAGGUANCAUAAUCAUUANUCUUUUAAUUGAAGGCUUGUAUGAAGGGUUAGACGAGAAAUCAGCUGUCUUUAUUGAAAAGAUGGAAUUUAACUUUUAAGUGAGAGGGCUUAAAUAUUCUAAAGGGACGAUAGACCCUAUAAAGUUUGAUAUUUAUUUUUUAAAAAAUAAGAUAAAUAGUAAAGUUAGUUAGAAAAAAGAUGUUUUGUGGGGCGACAAGAAUAUAAUAUAUACUGUUUUAUAUUCAUACACGAUAAUUGAAUUUAUGAACCUUUGUAAGGUAAUAGAGUAAAUUACUUUAGGGAUAACAGCGUAAUUUUUUUUGAGAGUUCUUAUCGACAANAAAGUUUGCGACCUCGAUGUUGAAUUAAAGUUCUUUGUAAGUAGCAGUUACACGAGAAGUCUGUUCGACCUUUAAUCUUUACAUGAUUUGA